AUGGCCAGCCUGGUGCACCAGACGGCGGCGCCGAUGGCGUGCAGCGACGACGACUUCAUGCCGCAGAGCUUCGGGUGCUUCGGGCGGUCGCUGUCUCGGGCGUCGUCGGCCCGGCGGCUGGAGUACAGGGCGCUGAGCGGCGAGGGCGGGGAGGAGAUCAGGCGCAUCGCGCAGGAGGAGCGGUCGGCCAGGGCGAAGCUGCGGUGGAAGGCGGUGGCGCAGGAGAUCAUGGCGAGGAGGAGGGGCCUCGGCGGAGGCGCGGCGCGGAGGAGGAAGGCCGGGUUCAGCUACGACUCCAAGAGCUACGCGCUCAACUUCGACCAAGGCGCCGCCGCCGAGUAG
rnacentral:rRNA from 1 species